AUUGAACGCUGGCGGCAUGCCUUACACAUGCAAGUCGAACGGCAGCACGGGAGCAAUCCUGGUGGCGAGUGGCGAACGGGUGAGUAAUAUAUCGGAACGUGCCCAGUCGUGGGGAUAACGUAGCGAAAGCUACGCUAAUACCGCAUACGAUCUACGGAUGAAAGCGGGGAUCGCAAGACCUCGCGCGAUUGGAGCGGCCGAUAUCAGAUUAGGUAGUUGGUGAGGUAAAGGCUCACCAAGCCGACGAUCUGUAGCUGGUCUGAGAGGACGACCAGCCACACUGGGACUGAGACACGGCCCAGACUCCUACGGGAGGCAGCAGUGGGGAAUUUUGGACGAAUGGGCGAAAGCCUGAUCCAGCAAUGCCGCGUGCAGGAAGAAGGCCUC
rnacentral:rRNA from 1 species